GUAACGCGGAAGAAAGAGAGGGAGGGAUAGAAAGGAAUAAAGAGAAGCGACGCAUCGGGCAGUUUAGUCGGUUGCUGUUCUAUUUUCCUCUGUUGGCUGCUGCCCCAGCCCCCACCCCCCUCCCUCUCUCUCUCUUCUAAGACGUGCAUGGGAGCGAAAGAAGAAAAGAAAGGAAAGAUUGGACCGAUGGUUACUCGACACAGAGGGCAAACGGUGGAGGUCGCUGUUCUCACGAUUGAGAAUGAAAUAUAUGCUCAGUGAUGAGGUGCAGUUUAUAUUGAUGGCUUUUUGAUGACUUUGCUGAUCUUCAGGGUCAUAUCUAAUAGGUGCUGUUUGUUGACCCUGGUGUUCUCCAUCGGAGAUGUUAGUUUUGGCAAUUUAUUGGUAGAAAUGUUUGGGGAGAGGUGGAGAGGCUACUGAGAAUUUGUCACUUUAAGAAGAACAAGCUGUAUAUGGUUCACCUAAGGUCACAUUCUCAUUGUACCGCCUAUUGCUUAUCUAGUGGGCUUAAACUUCCUUAAAGAUCCAUCCAUUUGAAUGUGACGAGUGCGUACCAUUACCCUUUUUUUCUUUUGGAAUGUGUUGGGUCCCCUGUACUGCCACUGAUAGUGGAAACUAUUAUAGUUCAACAGUGGAAUUUAGUAGGUCUAAUGUGAUCCUAGGAGUAUUUGCUUCAUCACAUAGACAAUGGACAUUUUUUUCCAUUCACAUGUUGAGAAUAUGUAUAUCAGUAAUAGUGGUGAUAAAUUUAAAAAUAAAUUAGGUGAAAGGUUUUUUAAGCAUUAUUAA